UUGCCUAUAAGAAAACCAAUUGUUCUUGAAAAACCUGUUUUACCCUUCUUUUCAAUUUGGACUGACACGUGGAUGGUGUCUUCUACUUCCUUCCAAUUAUUCUACUUCCUUCCAAUUACACACUUUCUGUUUCCUUCUUUUUCUUCCUUGCAGAUUAUCACUUUUUCAACCUUCACGUGUACCACUUUUCCUAUUUUCCUCGAGAAGACAAACUUUCAAAUGCCAUCUUUUUCCAUCAUAUCACUACUUAUCACACCUACUCUACUUCAUCUUCCCCUCUCUCUUCAAUAUCCCUCCCACAAACUUCUAUUCUCCUCCCUCCGCUUCUUCUUCCUUCUCCAUCUCCUUCAUUGUUAUUAUUGAGUUUUAGAAAAGUUUGAUUUUGAUUUUAAUUUGGUUUUUGUUGUUUCAGGUUUGGUGGUGUCGGUCCACGGGAAAGGGGGAAGUUUCGCCGACGGUGCGAUUUCUGAUGGCUCCAUGUGCGGCGCCUCCAUGUGGAAAUGGACCCUGGGAAGCUGUUUACUAUGUUUCAUAUUUUUUCCCUUCAUGAAUUUUUUUUAUUUAUUCAACAUCUCUAACAUUGUUUUAAUGGUUUUUGUUUGGUUCUGAAACUACGAGUGUGACUUAUCUAGGCAUAAGAUCUACGAAAUUAUGACGGUGGCUAUGGCGUUUCCGACGAUAGGUGGUUUGACAGUGGUUGACUAUAGUAGCGGCAACACGUUUUUUUACGGUUUUGAACUUUUGGGAACCAACAUUUACUUUUACGCAAGUCUUCAAUGGUGAAGGUGAUGACUAUGAAUGAAAUGGUUGUUGUGUUUUCUCCCUAUCUCAACUUCACAUUUGUAUUUUCUCCUUAUCUCCACUUUGAAUUUGUAUUUUUUCAAUUGUUUUGUUGAUUGAGUCACUCAUUCAUUCUCAUGGAAUGUUCAUAUUUCACCGUCAUUGAAUGAUGAUAAUCCAAGCUUCACCAUAAUUUUGGGGUAUUCGAGAAAUGGUGAUAUGUAUAAAGCAUGUGAUGAAUACAGGAAGAAAGGAAAAAAGGAAAGGCU